UUUUGUCCAAAGAACGCAGACAGUGGAUGCCUUGGCGCAAGUUGCCGAAGAAGGACGUAGUUGGCGGCGAUACUCGUCGGGUAGGAGCCAAUAUCCUAUGAUCCGACGGUUUCCGAAUGGGGAAACCCGUCCCGCUUCAUCGCGGGAUACUCUCAUCCCAAGUUUUUGAAUUUAUUCAAAUUAUUAAGAUGUGAGAGGAUACCUGGGGAACUGAAACAUCUAAGUACCCAGAGGAACAGAUACCGAAAGUGUAUUCCGUUAGUAGCGGUGAGCGAAAACGGAGGAGCCCAAAUCCGCCCGCAAGGGUGAGAGGUUGUAGGACCCGCCACAACAGACAUGUGUGGUUAGUAGAAUAGCUUGGAAUAGCAGACCAGAGAGAGUGAAAGUCUCGUAUACGAAAACUAGACAUGCUGGGUGGGUAUCCUGAGUACCACGGGACACGAGAAAUCUUGUGGGAAUCUACCCCGACCACGGGGUAAGGCUAAAUACAAUUUGCGACCGAUAGUGAACUAGUACCGCGAGGGAAAGGUGAAAAGAUGAGCGGAACGCUCAGUGAAAUAGAACCUGAAACUGUUUGCGAACAAACCGAUAGAGUCCCGCCUCGGCGGGAUGAUAUCGUGCCUAUUGAAGAAUGAACCGGCGAGUUGUCGUGUAGUGUUUUCUUAACCCACUUUGUGGGGGAGGAGCAGUGAAAGCGAGGAUGAAUAGUCCGACUUACAAUACUAUGCGGCAGACCCGAAACCAGGUGAUCUAACCAUGAGCAGGGUGAAUCCGCCAGAAAUGGCGAGAGGAGGCCCGAACCGGUGUAUGUUGCAAUAUGCUCGGAUGACUUGUGGUUAGCGGUAAAAUGCCAAACGAACCUGGAGAUAGCUGGUUCUCCCCGAAAGGUCUAUAGGGACCGCCCUUUGAGGAAAUGCAGUUGGGGUAGAGCACUGAAUGGGGCAUCAAGGGAAACUGAGAUGUCUCAAUCAAACUCCCGAAUACAACUGUAGAACACCAAAGGAGACAGUCAUACGGGGCUAAGCUCGUGUGGCUAAAGGGAAACAACCCAGACUCUCAGUUAAGGCCUCUAAAUUUACCUUAAGUUUGUAAGGAAGUUACUCCUCCCCCGACACCCAGGAGGUUGGCUUAGAAGCAGCCAUCCUUUAAAGAUAGCGUAACAGCUCACUGGCCGAUGGAGGGUAGCGCCGAAGAUUUAUCGAGGAUUAAAGGUAAUGCCGAAACUAGAGAUGCGAUUUUAAUUUAUUAAAAUCGCGUGGUAGGGGAGCGUGCUGAGUGCUUUGAAGCUUUGAUGUAAAUUGGAGUGGAGCGCUCAGUAGUGAGAAUGCCGGUAUGAGUAGCGAGAAGUCCAGUGAGAAUCUGGACCGCCGUAUGCCUAAGGUUUCCGUCGCAACGUUCGUCGGCGACGGGUUAGUCGGCUCCUAAGGCGAGGCCAUAAUUGGCGUAGUCGAUGGAAGAGGCGUUAAUAUUCGUCUACUUGUUUUGUAUCGUUAUAAAUUGGGGAUUGACCGAGUUGGAGAUUUCGAGCCCAUUAUUAGAAUUUGGGUAUAAAUCGCAAAAUAGUUUUGACUGGAAAGUCCGUUGAAACGUUUAAUUGAACGAUUAUGUAAAGUGUUCCGAAAGGAAUGCAAUUCGAACGUCUUCAGCUUGCAAGAAAAGGUCCGCAAUGAGAGACAAAGCAAGCCGUACCAACAACCGACACAGGUGGGCUGGUAGAGUAUACUAAGGCGAGCGAGAGAAGGUAGGUUAAGGAACUCGGCAAUAAAGCUGGACGUAAGUUCGCAAGAUGUCCUCCCCGCCAUUAGGCGGGGCGCAGCUAACGAUUGUCAACCGACUGUUUAUCAAAAACACAGGUCCCUGCAAAAGCGAAAGCUAAGGUAUAGGGGCUGACGCCUGCCCAGUGCUGGUAAGUCAACCGGAGGGGUGAAUCGCCGCAAGGCGGCUUGCUCUGAAGCGAAGCUCCAGUAAACGGCAGCAGUAACUAUAAACCGAAAGGUCGUUGUAGUUCUAAAACCUGGCUAUAUGCUGGAAUAUCUGAGUAUCUUGAGCUAGUUGACUUUGGGUUUAAUUCGGGUAAUACUGAGUUAUGCUUCAAUCGACUGACAAUGCUUCAAGUGCAGACAAUCAGCAGGAAAGGCUAGAAAUCGGAUGGGUAGUUGGUUUUAUAGAUGGGGAGGGCUGUUUUUCAGUUAGUCUCCACAAGAACCCAACAACCCAAAUUGGUUGGCAGAUAAUGCCAGAGUUUGUGGCAACUCAAGGAGAAAAGAGUUUAGAUGCUCUUAGGAAAUUGGAAACUUUCUUCAGUUGUGGUCGAAUAUUUGUAAAUCGCAGAUAUGAUAACCACAAUGAGAAUCUCUAUAGAUUCUGUGUUAGAUCCUUUAAGGAUCUUGAAGAGAAAGUUGUACCGUUUUUUAAGCAACAUCCACUUCAAACUGCAAAGAGGCGAGAUUUUGAGAUUUUUUCUCAGAUAAUUGUCUUGAUGAAAGAGAAGAAGCACUUAAAUCCCGAGGGUAUAAGAGAAAUAAUUUCUCUUGCUACAAACAUGAAUACCAAAAAAAGAAAAAGGUUUCUAGAAUCCUCAGAGACUAUACGCCGGGUCCCGUAAAAAGCGGGAAUGAUAUAGUCCGACCCUUGUGGCGACACAAGGAACAUGGCAGAAAUGGUCCAUGUCCUCCCUAUUUGGGGAGAGCAACAAAGUGAACUGUUCUACGGUGGAAUCAAGCUGCUGUAGUAAAAUUUGGCUAUAUGCUGGAAUAACUCGAGAAUCUGACAGUAGUCGCCUCAGUCGACUGACAAUCUGUUCAGUGGAGUCAAUCAGCAGGAAAGGUCCCGCCUCGGCGGGGAAUCCUCAGAGACUAUACGCCAA
rnacentral:rRNA from 1 species